GGCUGAGUAACACGUGGAGAACCUGCCCCCUCCCCCGGGAUAGCCGCCCGAAAGGACGGGUAAUACCGGAUACCCCGGGGUGCCGCAUGGCACCCCGGCUAAAGCCCCGACGGGAGGGGAUGGCUCCGCGGCCCAUCAGGUAGACGGCGGGGUGACGGCCCACCGUGCCGACAACGGGUAGCCGGGUUGAGAGACCGACCGGCCAGAUUGGGACUGAGACACGGCCCAGACUCCUACGGGAGGCAGCAGUGGGGAAUCUUGCGCAAUGGGGGGAACCCCGACGCAGCGACGCCGCGUGCGGGACGGAGGCCUUCGGGUCGUAAACCGCUUUCAGCAGGGAAGAGUCAAGACUGUACCUGCAGAAGAAGCCCCGGCUAACUACGUGCCAGCAGCCGCGGUAAUACGUAGGGGGCGAGCGUUAUCCGGAUUCAUUGGGCGUAAAGCGCGCGUAGGCGGCCCGGCAGGCCGGGGGUCGAAGCGGGGGGCUCAACCCCCCGAAGCCCCCGGAACCUCCGCGGCUUGGGUCCGGUAGGGGAGGGUGGAACACCCGGUGUAGCGGUGGGAUGCGCAGAUAUCGGGUGGAACACCGGUGGCGAAGGCGGCCCUCUGGGCCGAGACCGACGCUGAGGCGCGAAAGCUGGGGGAGCGAACAGGAUUAGAUACCCUGGUAGUCCCAGCCGUAAACGAUGGACGCUAGGUGUGGGGGGACG
rnacentral:rRNA from 1 species